AUUGAACGCUGGCGGCAGGCCUAACACAUGCAAGUCGAGCGGAGCGCCGGUCGGGUGAGUAUUGCUUAGGAAUCUGCCGGGUAGUGAGGGAGAACGUCAGGAAACGGGCGCUAAUACCGCAUACUAUCAGCAUAGCCUAGGCCGAAUUAGCUAGUGGGUGGGGUAAAGGCCAACCAAGGCGACGAUCCGUAUCUGGUCUGAGAGGAUGAUCAGUCACACUGGAACUGAGACACGGUCCAGACUCCUACGGGAGGCAGCAGUGGGGAAUAUUGCACAAUGGGCGAAAGCCUGAUGCAGCCAUGCCGCGUGUAUGAAGAAGGUCUGCGGGUUGUAAAGCACUUUAAGUUGGGAGGCGUUACCAACAGAAGAAGCACCGGCUAACUUCGUGCCAGCAGCCGCGGUAAUUC
rnacentral:rRNA from 1 species